rnacentral:misc_RNA from 1 species
GAUGAAGAACGUAGUGAAAUGUGAUACGUAAUGUGAAUUGCAGAAUUCAGUGAAUCAUCGAAUCUUUGAACGCACAUUGCGCCCGCCAGUAUUCUGGCGGGCAUGCCUGUUCGAGCGUCAUUUCAACCAUCAAGCCCUGCUUGCGUUGGGGUCCUGCGGCUGCCCGCAGGCCCUGAAAACCAGUGGCGGGCUCGCUAGUCACACCGAGCGCAGUAAUACAUCUCGCUUUGGGCGUGCGGCGGGUUCUUGCCGUUAAACACCCCCUUUUUACCAAGGUUGACCUCGGAUCAGGUAGGAAUACCCGCUGAACUUAAGCAUAUCAAUAAGCGGAGGA